AGAGUUUGAUCAUGGCUCAGAUUGAACGCUGGCGGCAGGCUUAACACAUGCAAGUCGAGCGGGGUGAUGUAGCUUGCUACAUUACCUAGCGGCGGACGGGUGAGUAAUGCUUAGGAAUCUGCCUAUUAGUGGGGGACAACAUUCCGAAAGGAAUGCUAAUACCGCAUACGCCCUACGGGGGAAAGCAGGGGAUCUUCGGACCUUGCGCUAGUAGAUGAGCCUAAGUCAGAUUAGCUAGUUGGUGGGGUAAAGGCCUACCAAGGCGACGAUCUGUAGCGGGUCUGAGAGGAUGAUCCGCCACACUGGGACUGAGACACGGCCCAGACUCCUACGGGAGGCAGCAGUGGGGAAUAUUGGACAAUGGGCGAAAGCCUGAUCCAGCCAUGCCGCGUGUGUGAAGAAGGCCUUUUGGUUGUAAAGCACUUUAAGCGAGGAGGAGGCUACCGAGAUUAAUACUCUUGGAUAGUGGACGUACUCGCAGAAUA
rnacentral:rRNA from 1 species